UACGAAGGGGGCUAGCGUUGCUCGGAAUUACUGGGCGUAAAGCGCACGUAGGCGGCUUUCUAAGUCGGGGGUGAAAUCCUGGAGCUCAACUCCAGAACUGCCUUCGAUACUGGAGAGCUCGAGUCCGGGAGAGGGUGAGUGGAACUGCGAAGUGUAGAGGUGAAAUUCGGUAGAAUUAUUCGCAAGAACACCUAGUCGGC
rnacentral:rRNA from 1 species